UCCUCUUCCUCUCCAUCGCCCCAGACCGCCGGCCCUAGCCGCCCCUCCCCGCACCCCUCACCUCAGCGCUCCUCCCCUCCGGAUCCGGCGAGAGCGCGGCUCGCAGCACCGGCCGCGCCAGCCGGUCUGUCUCGCGGAGCGGCGGCUCCUCCCCUCCGGAUCCGGUGAGGGCCGCGGCGGCGGGGGCGGCGGUUGGGCGAGCAGCGGGGGCCGCUGCUGCAGGACCGGCGGGGCACCCCCAUCUUGUCUUCCGGUGCGGGUGCCCCUUCUCUCCCUCGCCCCACUCCUCCGUUGGCGCUGGUGAAGCGGCGGGACGCCGGCCUGCCGGCCCCUUCCCUCCAGAUUUGAUGGUUCGACCUCCACGCCUCCUCGCUAAUCUGGAUAGGAAGGAUGGCCAUGGUCCUAUGCUGAAGAAGGGAGAACUGCUCGUGCGAAUGAGCUUAGCCAGAUCCUUGCUUGAAUUAAGGUAGUGCUCCCCUUCCUGUCCUUUUUCUCUUACUGAAUCAUCAAUUAUGUAUAGAAUUAAAAUAAGCUACUGUUAGUACAAAAGGUGGCAAGGUUGUCCAUACAUUUAGCAGGGAUAUUUUUUAUUUGGGUUGUUUUCCUAAUCUGAACUAUUGUUGUGUCUAUUACUGAGAUAAUAGGAGGAUGUAUUAGACUAUGCACCAGUUCUAGAGGUAGGUAAGACCAGAGGUAUGUGCAAUUGCCCUUUUUUUCUUAUUGAAUCAUCAAUCAUGUAUAAAAAUAAAACAAGGUUUUAACUGUAAUAGAAAAUGUUUUUUGCAGGAGAACACCUCUUGCGUUUUGUGCGGGAGAACACCCGUUGCCCCAAAUCUCUGGAGAAGUCAGCGAAUCCUCGAAGCAAGAGGUACAGAACUGGUGUAUUAGAUUUGGAGGAGCAUAUGGGCAGUCAAAGCUUUCAACAUCUUGCACGCUAAUGAACUUGACGGUGAUUUAAGAUAGAAGAUGGUAGCAGUAAGCAGUGUGCUACUGGAUAAGAACAGAGCCAAGCGAAGAGCCAGGUUGCUUCUUGCUAUGUGCUACAUGGGUCUCUUAGAAAAUAUCAUAAUAAUGCUUUGACAGAGUAGAGCAGGUGCAUUCUCUUAUGGGAGGGUCGAUUUUAAAUAUAUUAAUAGUUGCAUAGAGUUUGCAAACCUAUGUUUAUCAGUUCGUCCUUUGAUUUGUUGAAUGGAUCUGCAAUAGGUGUUCUUGAUAAUAGCCCUAUGACAUAUGUUAUGUUUUGGUUGUUUUCAUGUGCAUGCUUCAAAUGACACACAUAGCUUAUAAGAGCUUUGAUGGAGCAAUAUUUCAUUGUUGGUCAGACACUGCUAUACCUUGGUAGAUAACCAGAUUAAUCAAGCUAUACCUGGAAUUAUAUACUUGUUGAUUGUUUAUUUUUUAAGAUUGACAUUUUUUUUGGCAGAAACUCUUUAGUAUUUUGAUUUUUCUGUGUUGUCCAUGCUAGAAGCAUUGUGCUACAAGAAAAGCAAAUGCAUCUGCCUCAGUACGAAUUUUGUUAUCAGGUACUCCUCUCACCACCUCCCACCGAUGCAUGCCAAGUGCUUGAUAAAAUUACUGGAUGGUAGGAUUGUACUUUGAUUGUCAGAUUCUGGAUGAAAUUACCCAUGAACGAAUUGUCUUUGAUUGGUUUUGAGAGAACAGUAAAUUUGCACCACUGCUAGAGGUGAAGUUUAAGCUUCUUAAUAAUCAGUUUAUGUAUGCAGUUAUAUUAUAUUAUAACAUAUUAUUGCAUUGAAUAGCUUUGUGUUCUUUUCAGUAAUGCAAUGAUGGUCCGCAUAAUGAAAGAAUAGAUUAGGCUAUCCAUGUUCUUUUCAGUAAUUGUCUUUGCUAAACAUUUUUGAGUGGAUUAGUUGUGUAUUUCCAUGUGGAGCUUACCGAGAAGCAAUGCGUCUGGGCAGGAAGUCCCCCGAUGAUGUGGUGCUCAACAACAUGUCUUCCAGGAGUCAUGCACAGUACAUGUCCACCGUUGUCUGUGGUGAUCUACCUAAGGCUCUAAGCACUCAAGGCAAGAGAGGUUGGGCUACCAUAUUUUCACUUCAGAAUAAAUCAGGUUAGUGGGUUGUAUUUCGAUUUUCUCAUUGUGCUCUAAUUUAAUAUGCAUAAUAGGUCUCCAAAUUUUCCCUUCUGAAUUUUUGAGGCGCAUUGGCUUUUCCAGGCUUUUAUGUGUAAUUGGACUGAGAUGUAGUAAAUUGUUGAUUUUGUGCCAGAAACACAUGGCAAAGACUGAAGAGGAAAUGAGUAUAGCAGUAAUAUUGCUAGAGUUAGUCAUGGUAUAUAUUUAAAUACUUCACAGGCAGUUCUCUGAAUUAUUCUUUCCUUGACAUCGUAUGGUAAAACUUAUCACAUGUCGUGCUCACUAUUUGAACAAAUGGUUCCAGUACAUGUGUUGUUUCCCGUGGCCCAAACCCUAAAACUACCCACAUUUUUGGAGAUCAUGUUUUUAAGCUUCAAGCUGAGCACCUGAUGCCUGGUGAAAAUAAGGAUAAAGAGAACAUGCCUCCUCUUGUGAAAGAGGGUGCCAUGAGCUUCUGUAGUUUUUGCAGUGAGAAGCUGAAAUAAGGGAGAGAUAUCUACAUCUAUCAGGGUGACAAAGCCUUUUGCAGCACAGAGUGCAGGGAGAAUUUCAUGGAAAAUGAGAUGGAAGAAGGUGAACCCAUGAUAUAUCAUCUUGCACCUCCGAGCAGCUCACCUUUGGACAAUGGUCCUAUUUUCCAACUGAUCCGUUGAGUGAAAAUUAGCAACAACUUGAUAUGGUCGUAUCUGAAGUGCUGUCUGAGGUUAAUAAGUUGCAGUCAUGGAUGUGAUCAUGUUUGCGGAGUUGUUGCCUGAAGAUUUUGUUUGUGUGGCUUACCUCACCUAUUGAUUUCUUUGUUUUGCGUACUAGGAUCCUCAAAUUUUUUGGAGGACUUCGAAGAAUGACUAUAUCUCUGGUCAUAUUAUUAUCUUGAUCGGAGAGGGGCGUGUGUGUGCGCGUGUCUGAACUUGAGUUUGGCUGUUUGGACCUCAUUUUCAGUGGCUAUCGGAUGUUCGACACUUGUGUUACUAUCAUGUAUCUGAACCUAUGUUUUCAGUAUGUAUUUCGGAAAGGAAAUGGUAAACUAUGAUAUCAAUAAAUGUUUA